CAGCAAUGCAUUCUCCCAGUUAAUUAAGCUGCAGUGGCUGGAAUUGGGUAACAACCAAAUAGAGGAGCUGCCACCUGGAGUCUUCAAUCACAACACUGAGUUGAUCAAACUUUGGUUAUACGGCAACAAGAUCAAGAAUUUGACUAGCAAUGCAUUCUCCCAG